rnacentral:lncRNA from 12 species
AAAAAAAAAAAAGCCUCUGUACUCCAUCUGCUAGAGAUUUGCCAGGAAUGUAAGAAAUCUUUCAUUCUGAGCAGCAAACCUAUUAACUCAUUGAAAUGGAGAACUGCUAUUCAUGAACUCCAGCUCCAGCCUCAGUCAGUUUCUGCUUGGAUGUUUGCCUACUCCCCUUAUUCUUUGUGAAGUUUGUGAACCACCUUGGUACCCUGAGCAACAAGUUCUUUCUCUGAAUUAACUAAGUGCAGAAACUUUCAAUCACUGAAAGGACUCUUCAAUUUCACGUCCCAAAGCUGUCAAGUUAAAGGUGAACUUAAAAGCCAAAAGCCUGAGAUUAAACUCUGGGAAAAUAUGUACUCCUUAAAUAUUAACCACUUCAUAAUUCUGAAGAUGACUGACAGCAAAAUGCUCAUUUUAGCUGCCACCUUCUACUGGUAAAGUGUCUAAAAUGUUACUUGAUCUGCUCCCUUGCCAAGUUAGAAGAAUCUUCUUUCCAAACAACAUUUCCACUAUCAUUUUCCCGCUGUCUACAAUUAGUCCACGCACUGUCUUAAGAAUCACCUUAAGCAAUUUAAACCAUCAGCCUUUGGCGGUUCUCGCCAACCCGUCUGACCCGACGACGUGCCGAUCAGCAGAAGAGCGGCAGUUGAGCAAGCAGGGGCAGCAAUACUUUGUACCCUGCCCCGGCAGCAGCCGAGCCCGAGCCCGAGCCCGCAGCGCUCUGCCAGCGGAUGGCGGGUGGCGAAAGCCAUGGCGAAGGCACGGAGCGAGCGGCGCGGCCGGGACGGGCGGGGCCGGGCCACGCUCCGCCCCGGGGGAAGGGGCAGGUUCCGGCCCCCGGCCCCAGCCGCCCGCCGGCGGCAGAGGCGCGUCGCGUCUUUCACCUUGA